UUGAAAAAUUAGCGGAUGACUUGUGGCUAGGGGUGAAAGGCCAAUCAAACUCGGAGAUAGCUGGUUCUCCCCGAAAGCUAUUUAGGUAGCGCCUCGGACGAAUACUACUGGGGGUAGAGCACUGUUAAGGCUAGGGGGUCAUCCCGACUUACCAACCCUUUGCAAACUCCGAAUACCAGUAAGUACUAUCCGGGAGACACACGGCGGGUGCUAACGUCCGUCGUGGAGAGGGAAACAACCCAGACCGCCAGCUAAGGUCCCAAAGUAUUGCUAAGUGGGAAACGAUGUGGGAAGGCUCAGACAGCUAGGAUGUUGGCUUAGAAGCAGCCAUCAUUUAAAGAAAGCGUAAUAGCUCACUAGUCGAGUCGGCCUGCGCGGAAGAUGUAACGGGGCUAAGCAAUACACCGAAGCUGCGGCAAUGUCUUUUAGACAUUGGGUAGGGGAGCGUUCUGUAAGCCGUUGAAGGUGAAUCGUAAGGUUUGCUGGAGGUAUCAGAAGUGCGAAUGCUGACAUGAGUAACGACAAAGGGGGUGAAAAACCUCCUCGCCGGAAGACCAAGGGUUCCUGUCCAACGUUAAUCGGGGCAGGGUGAGUCGACCCCUAAGGUGAGGCCGAAAGGCGUAAUCGAUGGGAAACGGGUUAAUAUUCCCGUACUUCUGACUAUUGCGAUGGGGGGACGGAGAAGGCUAGGUGGGCCAGGCGACGGUUGUCCUGGUUCAAGUGCGUAGGCUUGAGAGUUAGGUAAAUCCGGCUCUCUCUAAGGCUGAGACACGACGUCGAGCUACUACGGUAGUGAAGUCAUUGAUGCCAUGCUUCCAGGAAAAGCCUCUAAGCUUCAGAUAGUCAGGAAUCGUACCCCAAACCGACACAGGUGGUCGGGUAGAGAAUACCAAGGCGCUUGAGAGAACUCGGGUGAAGGAACUAGGCAAAAUGGUACCGUAACUUCGGGAGAAGGUACGCUCUUGAUGGUGAAGUCCCUCGCGGAUGGAGCUGACGAGAGUCGCAGAUACCAGGUGGCUGCAACUGUUUAUUAAAAACACAGCACUGUGCAAAAUCGCAAGAUGACGUAUACGGUGUGACGCCUGCCCGGUGCCGGAAGGUUAAUUGAUGGGGUUAGCGCAAGCGAAGCUCUUGAUCGAAGCCCCGGUAAACGGCGGCCGUAACUAUAACGGUCCUAAGGUAGCGAAAUUCCUUGUCGGGUAAGUUCCGACCUGCACGAAUGGCGUAAUGAUGGCCACGCUGUCUCCACCCGAGACUCAGUGAAAUUGAAAUCGCUGUGAAGAUGCAGUGUACCCGCGGCUAGACGGAAAGACCCCGUGAACCUUUACUACAGCUUGGCACUGAACAUUGAACCUACAUGUGUAGGAUAGGUGGGAGGCUAUGAAGACGUGACGCCAGUUGCGUUGGAGCCGUCCUUGAAAUACCACCCUUGUAUGUUUGAUGUUCUAACUUAGACCCAUUAUCUGGGUUGAGGACAGUGCCUGGUGGGUAGUUUGACUGGGGCGGUCUCCUCCCAAAGAGUAACGGAGGAGCACGAAGGUGGGCUAAUCACGGUUGGACAUCGUGAGGUUAGUGCAAUGGCAUAAGCCCGCUUAACUGCGAGAAUGACGGUUCGAGCAGGUGCGAAAGCAGGUCAUAGUGAUCCGGUGGUUCUGUAUGGAAGGGCCAUCGCUCAACGGAUAAAAGGUACUCCGGGGAUAACAGGCUGAUACCGCCCAAGAGUUCAUAUCGACGGCGGUGUUUGGCACCUCGAUGUCGGCUCAUCACAUCCUGGGGCUGAAGUCGGUCCCAAGGGUAUGGCUGUUCGCCAUUUAAAGUGGUACGCGAGCUGGGUUUAGAACGUCGUGAGACAGUUCGGUCCCUAUCUGCCGUGGGCGUUGGAAGAUUGAAGGGGGCUGCUCCUAGUACGAGAGGACCGGAGUGGACGAACCUCUGGUGUUCGGGUUGUGUCGCCAGACGCAUUGCCCGGUAGCUAAGUUCGGAAUUGAUAAGCGCUGAAAGCAUCUAAGCGCGAAGCGAGCCCUGAGAUGAGUCUUCCCUGACAGUUUAACUGUCCUAAAGGGUUGUUCGAGACUAGAACGUUGAUAGGCAGGGUGUGUAAGCGUUGUGAGGCGUUGAGCUAACCUGUACUAAUUGCCCGUGAGGCUUAACCAUACAACACCCAAGG
rnacentral:rRNA from 1 species